rnacentral:lncRNA from 1 species
CUCAAAUAAACGGGCGCUGCCGCCUCCAGGGGGAGGACAGCGGGCGGAGAAUACUCACGCUGGGCCCAGCCGCGCGGGGACUUCGCUGGGAACCACGCGCGGGCUCCCGCCGGGGAGCGGAGCCCCAGCCUGCAGUCCUGCGCCCGCCCCAGCACCGCCUCCUCGGAAGGGAGGCCUCUACCGUCCGGCGGCGGACCUGCAGCCGCCGCGGGAGACGCUGCCCCGCCCCCCGGCCCCGCCCUUCGGCCCAUCCCCGCCCCGCUGGCCUCCUUUUCCCCUGCCCCCUCCCUCCGCUCCUCAACGCCCGCCGGGUGCAAUCUGCUCUCUCCGGGAGACGAACGCGAAGCGACGUGGAAACCCUUCCACCAAAAUGAGCUGUGAUAUCCUUUUGAUGGCUAUAAUUUAUUCCAAAUCGUCCCUGGACUGAAACGAUCAAUUAGCAGCCCGAAACGCACUGUGAAGUAAAUUGUCACACUCUCUAUUACAGGAUGGUUAUCAUAUAUUUAUAAGAGUUACACCUGCCAUCUAGCAAAACAGACCUCACCCAAGGUCAAUGAUGGCUGCUAACCUUGGGGUUGAUGGGGGAAGGUGGAUGCAGCAGACCCCAGGGAAAACAGAGCACCGUGAGGAGGAGCCAGAGGAGGCCGGAGGCCCUUGUCUCAGACAUCCAGCUCUGAGAGUGAAAUGUUGCUUCCUAAUGGACUUUAAAUUACCAACAUCGCUAAACUCUCUCUUAAUAGACUUGUAAAGAUUUGCUUGCUACCUUUUUCCUCCUUCAUGUAGAAUUUGUAAUCAAGAGCCCAAUUUUGUCAUUUGGAAAUACUAAUUAUCUAAUCACGGCAUGCUGUAUAACGUACUUGUCUGCCCAAUUAGCUAGGACAAUUAUUAAAAUUCAGAGGCCUAAUUAUGUCUCAAUUUAAUGCUGGCAAACUUGCAUACAGAGCAGUAAUUAAAAUCCUCUCUUUCCCUCUGCCUUUAGGGCAGGGGAUGAUUAGGCCCUGUCAGGGGGUGUACUGAACCAAACCAGUGAAGCGUAUUGUGCAACAUGACCCUGCAUUGUUAAGUGUGUCAACAUAUUAACCUGAAUUCCCUUCAGCCCCCACAUAAUCACAUUUGGUGGAAGAAUGAAGGAGCUAAAACAUGAAGCAUUUUUUUAAAAAAACAUAAAUUCAUUUUAAUUAA